GCAGAGGUGGCGGCAGAGUUAGGGGGUGCGCAGACAAAGGCUUCAAGGCUGCUGCUGGUCACCUCAGCCUCCUGCCCUGCCCCCGUAGCCGCGUGCAGGGCAGCUUUAACCCUCUCAUCCCCAGCCCCAUUCCCGCCCGUGGUGUUGGUAUCAAUGUAUCACCAUUGGGGAUGUCACUGAGACAAGCAUUGGGCACUGCUAGUUUAUCUGAGAAUUUGGCCCCAGGAUGCACUGGGAGGGAAUGAGUAAGUGAGAUAGGGAGGAAGGGGAAAUCAAUGAAGGGCUGUGUUAAUGAGAAGGAAAUAAGGCUCAGGUGGCCUGCAGAGACAUAGCCAGUGAAUAUGCCCUGAGCUGUGCUGGAUGUGAGCCUGGGGCUUGGGGCAGAAGGGACUGGAAGGGGUGUGGGUAACAGGUGUUCUUCAGUCUACAUGGGGGAUGGCUUCUAGGACCCCAAGGAUACCAAAGUCCUUUGUAUAAAAUGCUCAAGUCCUUUGUAUAAAAUGGCCCGGUAUUUGUAAGUAACCUACAGAAUCCUCCCAUAUCCUUUAUUCUUUUUAAAAGAUGUAUUUAUUUUUAUUUAUUUGAAAGGCAGAGUCGCAAAGAGACGUCUCCCAUCCACUGGUUCACUCUUCAAAUGACUGCAAUGGCUGGGGCUGCGCCAGGCUGAAGCCAGCAGCCAGAAACUCCAUGUGGAUGGCCAUGGGCCAUCUUCCACUGCUUUCCCCAGGCACAUUUGCAGGGAGCUGCAUCAGAAGUCAAGCAACCGGACCUGGAACUGGCGCAAACCGGCUGCACCACAAGGCCAGCCCCUCCCAUACACGUUAUGUCAUUGCUAGAUUACUUGGAAUACCUAAUAUGAUAGGCUUGUUUUUCAGAUAGGGGAUUCUGUACGUGGAGUCUCAAAGCAGAAAACAGAUGCGAAUUGGGAUCCCAUGAGGCCAGAGUGCUGCUGGCAGGGCGGGAAACCAGGCUGCUGGAAGACCCCCACUCUCACCCAUCUCUGCUUCCUUCUCCCUUGGUUGUGUCUUGGAUCUUCCGACCAUCCUUUGACACUGGCUGUUCCCCGUGCCUCGGAUGCUUUUCCUCAAUAAACACAGGGCUCACUCCCUUAGUGCCUUCCUG
rnacentral:lncRNA from 1 species